CGUGAGAAGAUAAAGACAAGUGGUUACACAUUUGAAUUCAAAUCAAAUUUGAAUUCAAAUGCAAACCAACUCAUCCCUAUCCACUUGGGUGUGAGAAGAGAAGGUGUGAGGCUGCAUUGUGCAUGGAAAGGUUUCACGAGAAACUCUUUCUCGUGUGAGAUAUGGGGUGCUAAAGUGGAUAGGGUCAUGAAGGCGCAAGAGAUAAGUUAUCCAUUCAAAUUCAAACA
rnacentral:lncRNA from 1 species